ACAUGGUAUCCCAGCAACCAAACAUACAACACAGGAGACAGAUGAAUUUCUCAUUCUUGUAGGCUACCAUUUCUUUUGGCUUAUUACAAAACAACAGGAUGCUGCAGCUUUAUCAAAGUCUACUUAUUUGUCCACUAAAAGUUUAUGGCUAUACGUUUCCAACUAGAACAUCUGAACGCCAGUAUAUGGAAUUCUGACAAAGUUAAAACCAGGAAGAGAUCCUAUGAAGGCUGACAUUGAUUUGUAUGUCCUUUUUAUAGAACAAGAAAAAUAAUAAGAACAAGAACAGAAACAACAUUUGCAGCCACUGUCUAGACCACAGGAAACCUGGUCAACAACAUAUGGGAUGUCACCAGAUUCAGACUCAGAAGUUUCCAUAGUGCUGUGGCCAACAGCUAGACACAGCCUGCAACUGUUACCAGCCUGAGAAUGAAGCUGCUUUAUUGAAAAAUGCAGUGAAGAGAAUUUUAGAGAAGGAGCCAGUGGGUUAGCCCUGCCCGGACUCUUACCUGUGUGAACUGCGGAUAUCUAUAUUGUUUAAGCCGUUUUU